UACGGGGGGGCGAAGCGGUUGUUCGGAAUUACUGGGCGUAAAGGGCGCGUAGGCGGCCUUCUAAGUCAGACGUGAAAUCCCCCGGCUUAACCUGGGAACUGCGUCUGAUACUGGGAGGCUUGAGUAUGGGAGAGGGAUGUAGAAUUCCAGGUGUAGCGGUGAAAUGCGUAGAUAUCUGGAGGAAUACCGGUGGCGAAGGCGGCAUCCUGGACCAUAACUGACGCUGAGGCGCGAAAGCUAGGGGAGCAAACGGG
rnacentral:rRNA from 1 species